rnacentral:rRNA from 1 species
AUUGAACGCUGGCGGCAUGCCUUACACAUGCAAGUCGAACGGCAGCACGGGAGCAAUCCUGGUGGCGAGUGGCGAACGGGUGAGUAAUAUAUCGGAACGUGCCCAGUCGUGGGGAUAACGUAGCGAAAGUUACGCUAAUACCGCAUACGAUCUAUGGAUGAAAGCGGGGGAUCGCAAGACCUCGCGCGAUUGGAGCGGCCGAUAUCAGAUUAGGUAGUUGGUGAGGUAAAGGCUCACCAAGCCGACGAUCUGUAGCUGGUCUGAGAGGACGACCAGCCACACUGGGACUGAGACACGGCCCAGACUCCUACGGGAGGCAGCAGUGGGGAAUUUUGGACAAUGGGCGCAAGCCUGAUCCAGCAAUGCCGCGUGCAGGAUGAAGGCCUUCGGGUUGUAAACUGCUUUUGUACGGAACGAAAGGUUUACUAUUAAUACUAGGAGCUCAUGACGGUACCGUAAGAAUAAGCACCGG